rnacentral:tRNA from 1 species
ACAAGUGUGGCGUAGCUUGGUAGCGCACAUGCUUCGGGAGCAUGGGGUCGGGAGUUCAAAUCUCCCCACUUGUACCA